CACUCCUGCGGGAGGCAGCAGUGGGGAAUUUUGGACCAUGGGCGAAAGCCUGAUCCAGCAAUGCCGCGUGAGUGAAGAAGGCCUUCGGGUUGUAAAGCUCUUUUGUCAGGGAAGAAACGGUGAAAGCUAAUAUCUUUUGCUAAUGACGGUACCUGAAGAAUAAGCACCGGCUAACUACGUGCCAGCAGCCGCGGUAAUACGUAGGGUGCAAGCGUUAAUCGGAAUUACUGGGCGUAAAGCGUGCGCAGGCGGUUUUGUAAGUCUGAUGUGAAAUCCCCGGGCUCAACCUGGGAAUUGCAUUGGAGACUGCAAGGCUAGAAUCUGGCAGAGGGGGGUAGAAUUCCACGUGUAGCAGUGAAAUGCGUAGAUAUGUGGAGGAACACCGAUGGCGAAGGCAGCCCCCUGGGUCAAGAUUGACGCUCAUGCACGAAAGCGUGGGGAGCAAACAGGAUUAGAUACCCGAGUAGUCCCA
rnacentral:rRNA from 1 species